ensembl:lincRNA
AUGGGGACCCUGCACCGCACACAGCUGGCCCUUCUUCUCAGGGUAGCCACAGGCAGGAAAGGAAGGAAGAUGAAACAGAACUGUGGACCCGAGGCACAGGCAGCAGGUUGGUGCCAGGACGCCUGUCCCCGUCCCCUGGUCCCGGGAGGCCGUCCCCACAGGUCCAUGCUAGGAAGCUCGGUCACGGCGCCCACACCAGUACAUCCCCAGCCCCGAGUCCAGCCGAGUCCGGACUUUGCCCUUCCUCCUCACUCCCAGCCAGCGGUCUCACUGCCCUCCGCCGGCCUGUCCACGAGAACCAGAAGCCCUCACCUGGCUGCCCAUGUGUCUGGUGCACAGGGAGGGGCGUGUCUACAGAGUAGGUGCUCCUACCUUCUGACCUGCGGGGUCCCCCAGUCCUGCCCCCAUCAUCCUUCAGGAGCCAGGCCAAUGUCCCCUCUUUGGGUGGAGCAGCUGGCCAGUGUCCAGCGUGGCCAUCACCCUCCCACCCUACCUGGGCAGGGCCUGGUGGUUCCAGAAGGGUUCGGGACAGAACCAGCACUCAAGGGCUUCCUGAGAGAGAGGAAGGUCCCAGCCUGGGGGUUCCCCACCUCUCCCGGGAACACAGCACUGCGACCACACACAUGCUCCACUCACAGGCGAGGAAGUGGGCCUGGCCUGCCGCCUAACGGACAGCCUCCUGCCUCUGCCUCCCACCUCCCGCUUUCGCCUCCCGUCUCCAGGCCUGGCACCACUCUGACUGCGGACUCAGCAGCCCCGGGGCAACCAGCACCCCCAGAUGGCACGGUCUCCACCUCUUCACCUGGCACAGAGGCCACGAGGAGCACAGGUGUGGGGCAACUGCCCAGCAGGGAUCCUGGGGAGCCGCUCCCCUGCCACCCCUGGCUGCCUGCCUGGCCAGCACCUGCCCAGAAUGCAGAGGGGCCGCAGAGAGAAGCGGUGCCUGUUGUCACAGAGCAGGGCAGCAGGUGGCUUCUUCCUGCACCCGGCUCACCCAGAGCUGAGCACCUGGGACAGAGCUGGGCCAGAUGACCUCACCUCGAGCUCCAGCCCAGCAGACGGGACAGCUGAGGAGACAGGUUGGGACAACAGAGCCUCAGUGGCUGUGACGGAGCAGACAGAGAGGCCAGGGCCAAACGACGUCUAAUCUUGCCUGGGACAGCCGGGGCGGCUGCCUUGGUCCUCGAAAUAUUCAUGAAAUAUGUUGCAUGGCGGGAAAUAGACAAUAACCAGAAGCACUUGGGAAACCAGGAAGUACGGACGUAAGCAUGGGAAGACAGACAGACAGAUGAUAGGUGACUGAUGAUCGAUCAGUGAUAAAUUGAUACACAGACAACAAUAAAUUGAUGAUAAAUAAGUGGUUGAUGAUUAGAUAGAUGAUACACAGAUAUACACCACUGGAAGACGGAAGGAUCAGCAGGCAACAGAUAGCUCCCACUGGUCCGCGAUGCGACAACGUGAGGGGUGCAAUGAAACACACUAGACAAUAAGCUGAUACUAAGUCCGCACCCCGGGCCCACCCUGCUGGAAAGAGGGGACCGAGAACCAAGUCAGGGGGAGGACAGACCCCUCCUCCCAGGCCAGGGCAUCCAGCACAGUGUAUGGCUGCUGUCCCUCAGCAUGCCCAGCCCGGAGCAGGGUGUCCUUCGGGGGGACAGCAGCGGGAAGGCGUCAGGCGCACCCAGUUCCGCCGGUCAGGAGCUGGCUGGGGGGUCUACCUGCCAGCC